rnacentral:rRNA from 1 species
GAUGAACGCUGGCGGCAUGCUUAACACAAUGCAAGUCGGACGGGAAGUGGUGUUUCCAGUGGCGGACGGUGAGUAACGCGUAAGAACCUGCCCUUGGGAGGGGAACAACAGCUGGAACGGCUGCUAAUACCCCAUAGGCUGAGGAGCAAAAGGAGGAAUCCGCCCAAGGAGGGGCUCGCGUCUGAUUAGUUAGUUGGUGAGGCAAUGGCUUACCAAGGCGACGAUCAGAGCUGGUCCGAGAGGAUGAUCAGCCACACUGGGACUGAGACACGGCCCAGACUCCUACGGGAGGCAGCAGGUGGGG